ACAGCUUGCCGGAAUGUGGUGUCAGCGAGAUGGGACGAUAGUUUGGCAAAAGCUGCUU
rnacentral:pre_miRNA from 1 species